CAGAAGCGCCUUCUGCCCAGCUUCGCGUGGCAUUAAUCGCCACGGGCACGCCAGCUUGCGCUCCAAGGCUGCGUGAGCUUGACCUCGAGGGCUGGAUAAAACUCACCAUGAAGCAAGUCCCAUUGGACGAAGAACUGAUCAUAGCAUUUCUCAGUGGUAGCCAUCUGAAGAAGCACAACCUUCGUAGACGUCAGAGUAUCUGCUGCACCAGGGGGCUCCUCAGUGAACUAGCCCUGGCCAUGAUGGACAUGGAAUCUCACUGUUCAAUAGGAAUUUUUGAAAUAAAAUAAUACAGCCACCUA